GGUGAUCUACCCAUGUCCAGGAUGAAGGUAAGGUAAUACUUACUGGAGGUCCGAACCCACGCACGUUGAAAAGUGCGGGGAUGAGGUGUGGGUAGCGGAGAAAUUCCAAUCGAACUUGGAGAUAGCUGGUUCUCUCCGAAAUAGCUUUAGGGCUAGCCUCGAGGUAAAGAGUCAUGGAGGUAGAGCACUGUUUGGACUAGGGGCCCUUCUCGGGUUACCGAAUUCAGAUAAACUCCGAAUGCCAUGUACUUAUACUCGGGAGUCAGACUGCGAGUGAUAAGAUCCGUAGUCGAAAGGGAAACAGCCCAGACCACCAGUUAAGGUCCCCAAAUAUAUGUUAAGUGGAAAAGGAUGUGGGGUUGCUUAGACAACCAGGAUGUUGGCUUAGAAGCAGCCACCAUUGAAAGAGUGCGUAAUAGCUCACUGGUCGAGUGACCCCGCGCCGAAAAUGUACCGGGGCUAAACAUAUUACCGAAACUGUGGAUGAACCUCUUUAGAGGUUCGUGGUAGGAGAGCGUUCUAAGGGCGGUGAAGUCAGACCGGAAGGACUGGUGGAGCGCUUAGAAGUGAGAAUGCCGGUAUGAGUAGCGAAAGAAGGGUGAGAAUCCCUUCCACCGAAUAUCUAAGGUUUCCUGAGGAAGGCUCGUCCGCUCAGGGUUAGUCGGGACCUAAGCCGAGGCCGAUAGGCGUAGGCGAUGGACAACA
rnacentral:rRNA from 1 species